rnacentral:misc_RNA from 1 species
GGGGGGAGCAUAAGAGUCAUGGGGAGAGAACAAGGGGAAAAGGAAAAAAAAAAUGAAAAAUAAUUAUUUUAUUUAAAUUGUUAAUUCAAUUUUGAUCAACAGGACAUAAUUGCAACUAAAUGUGUAAGUUGGGACAAAAUUGACAAAAUUUAAAAGAUUGGACAAAAUCGCAAAAACACAAAGGUUUUGAUUUUUUUGGCUAUUAGGCCUUACAUAAAUAAUAAAAGUAAAUAAACAUAGAUUGAUAUAUCUUGAUCAUUGGGAAGCCUUAGCCACUGAAGCUGAAAAGUUAAACUCUUUUACGACUAUAUUGACCAUACAGAGCAAUUUGACUCUUGCCCUCAAAAGCAAAAAAUUGCAUCAAAUUUAGUGAUGCUUCUCUUAUCUACUUGUCUAAAUUGAGGUUCCCCUAUCACACUGAAAAUAUCUCCAUCAAAAAAUGCACACCAUAAAGCUGAAACUAUAAAAGUUUGACUCACUUAGACCUCUCUAAGAAUUUAUUUUUAAACUUUCUACUAAGUCCCUGUAGUGCUGAUCCCAACUCCCAAGCAAUAGCCAAGGGCCUUCAAGAUUUUUAAUUCCAAAUCAAUCAUAUCUAAGCAAGCAGCAGAGUGUAGAACAAGUCCAGUGGCAACUCUUACAGACAGGAAGAACAAUUGUGUUUAUGCACAUGAUCAAGUUGACUAGUUCCAAACUAGGUCAAAGGUCCUUUCUUUUCUCUUUUUAAUUUUACAUCAAAAUCAUGCUUCAAAUUAUACCUACUGUUUCUUUGCUAUAUCCCAUUCGCUCCCUUAUUAAGCAGAAACUACUAACUGCUAUAUAAAUAUCAUUUGUCCUCCAAUUGGAUUCUUUUAUGAAUAAGA